CAUUCUCCCAAGCUCAGCUCAGCCUUGUAAACAGGACACCUAGGUUCCAGGAUGUGGUUGUACCCAGCUCUCGAACCCAGAACAUUGACCCAAUUAAGCAGAAUGUUAGCCCUUAAGAACCAAGAUGCGGUUUUUCUUAGAAUAGCACCUGGCUACCUGCAAACUCCCUAUAUAACCCCCAUAGUCUGUAAGCCAGACUGCUGCCUUCACUCCCUGUGGUGAGGCAGCCAGCCUGGCAGGUUGAAAUAAACUUGCUAAAC